rnacentral:rRNA from 1 species
UUUUGAAAAUAAUAAAAAGUCUAAUCUGCCCACUGAAUUUAUUUAAAGGGCUGCAGUAUAUUGACUGUACAAAGGUAGCAUAAUCAAUAGUCUUUUAAUUGAAGACUUGUAUGAAUGAUUUGAUGAAAUAUGAACUGUCUCUUUUUUAAAAAUAAAAUUUAAUUUUUUAGUUAAAAAGCUAAAAUAAUUAUAAAAGACGAGAAGACCCUAUAGAGUUUUAUAGUUAUUUAAUUUAAAAAUUUUAUAUAUAAUUUAAAUUUAAAAUUAAUUAAUUAUUUUAUUGGGGUGAUAGAAAAAUUAAAAAAACUUUUUUUAAAAAUUUAACAUUAAUUUAUGAAAUUAUGAUCCAUAAUUUAUGAUUAAAAGAAUCAAUUACCUUAGGGAUAACAGCGUAAUUUUUUUUUUUAGUACAAAUAAGAAAAAGAGUUUGCGACCUCGAUGUUGGAUUAAGAUAAAAUUUAAAUGCAAAAGUUUAAAAUUUUUGAUCUGUUCGAUCAUUAAAAUCUUACAUGAUC